AAGAGGUAGAAGAGGUAGGAGAGGAAGUAGAGGAAGUAGAGGAAGAUGAAGUAGAGGAAGAAGAGGUAGAAGAGGUAGAAGAGGUAGGAGAGGAUGUAGAGGAAGAUGAAGUAGAGGGAGGAGAGGAAGAAGAGGAAGUAGAGGAAGAAGAGGAAGAAGAGGAAGUAGAAGAAGAUGAGGAGGAGGAGGAGGAAGAAGAAGUAGAGGGAGAAGAGGAAGUAGAGGAAGUAGAGGGAGAAGAGGAAGAAGAGGAAUGGGAAGAAUUAGAGGAGGAGGAAGAAGUAGAGGAAAGGGAGGAAGAGGUAGAAGAGGAAAGAGAGGAAGAGGAUGAAGAAGAAGAAGUAGAGGUAGAAGAGGAAGAAGUAGAGGUAGAAGAGGAUGAAGAAGAGGAGGAAGAAGAGGAGGAAGAAGAGGAGGAAGAAGAGGAGGAAGAAGUAGAGGAAGAAGUAGAGGAAGAAGUAGAAGAGGAAGAAGUAGAAGAAGAAGAAUUAGAAGAAGAAGAAGAAGAAGAAGAGGAAGAAGUAAAAGAGGAAGAAGAAGAAAAAGAAGAAGAAGAGGAAGAAGAAGAAGAAGAAGAAGAAGAGGAUAGAAAAAGAAGAGAAAAAAACAAAAUAUAUAAUUUUAAUUUGUUACAUUCUUUAAAUUCCACAAAAUCAGACUCCAGCAAAGAUUGUAGACCAGACUGGGGCAAAGGUUUAUUUUUUACAAAGGCGGAAGAAAUAAAUAAAAGAAACCUUAAUAAAAAUAUAUUAAGUUCUACCGCCUUUAAUUUUUCACCUAAGCACUCAACUAGUGAAUGUUCUGAAAAAUUAAUAUUAAAAGAAUCGUCUACCAUUGACACUAAUUCCGAUUUUGCCUUUGGCUGUAACCAAACAGACAAUAGUAAUAUAAUUACUGAAGAGUAUCACUAUAAUGAUUUAAAUAAGAAAGAAAAUAAACAAUUAAAGUUAAACUUAAUUAAUAAAAAUACACAUUAUAUACAUGAUAAUAUUAAUUGGGCAGAUAAAAUACAGAUGGAAGUAGGAGGACAAACUAACAACAGCAGUAAUGAAUUUAUAAACCAUUUUAAUAGCUUAGCGACAAACAUACAAAAUAGAAAAAAUAAUAAUGAUGAACUUAAAAAAAGAUUACAAGAACAAGUACUUAUACAAAGAAAGUUGUUAAAAAUAAAGGAAAAACAAUCGGCGUACAUAGAGUUGUUGAAACAAAAGAGUUUACAAAACAAGGCAGAAAAUUUUUAUACUUAAAAGUGACACAGUAAAUACUUUAUUUGGGAUUAAAGGUCAAGGGGAUAAACUAAUAACACGAUGA
rnacentral:lncRNA from 1 species